rnacentral:lncRNA from 7 species
GGGUAUCUUGCUGGAGAUCCCUGCCUACCUGAGGUCUGCUGAAGCUUCCUGCUCUGGAUGGUGACUUCAAAGCCGGCGUCAGCACUCACUCCAGCAGCCAGGGCAGCCAUAGCCUGCACACAGGGGAGGGCACUGGGACCAUCCAUCCUGCAGCUCUGUUCCAGCUGUUGCUGAUCUCCAGGGGCCAGUAAAAUACUUUGCGGGUCUGCAAUGCACUUUAAAAAUUGCAGUGGGUCUCUUUCCUCAGUGGUAAAUGUGUUCAUGCAGGGAGGAGAAAACUCCUCAGACAGGAGGCUCUCCCUGGUUGCAGAGCACCCUCUGAACUCUCUUCUACUGCAGGAGCCACAUUUCUGGGACCUGAAUGCAAUGCUGGGAGCUCAGAGGAUAGUCCUGGAGCUCUUCUGGGGUUAGGUCUGCUUGGGGAUUUUUACACUUCAGAGGGAAUUUCUUUAUAGAUUUAAAGAAGAGCUCUGCCAGUGCGCCUCAGCUGGGACCCAUGGCACCAUCUUCCCACCCAUCCCCAGCCUGCAGGCAGCUCGCACAGCAUUCCCUGCUAUCUCAGCCUUCAGCUUCUGCCCAUCUUUUCAAGCAGAACUCCAUCCAGAGCUACAAUAACACCCAAUCUUCUGUAUCUGAAAGCAUACACAAGGCUGAUUCUAGAUUUGUGAUGUGCAAAGGUGAGGAAGGUGCCUCCUUCAGAUGCAAAUACUGUUCUCUAGCACCUGAAAGAACUGAUAUGAAUUUAAUGCACCCUUCCAGGUUCCCUCCGUCCUACUUUUGGAAUACUCCUGGAUUUGUUAUCUGAGUUGCCUGUGGAUCCAGAUCUGCUGUUUUUCAUUGAUAAUGUGUUGGUUCCUCUCUGGAGUGUUGUGUCUCUGCUAUCGGUGGGUGUUUUAUGUGGUUAUCAGAGUUAAAAGCACAGCUCAGGCAUGGCUAGUCAUCUGCUGCAUAGCUUACUGAUUUUGAAUAAGAAGUGAAGGAGCCUUACGUUUUUGUUAUUACUGCGUCCAUCGCUGUUUUCUCACAUCUAUCUAUAUAUAUGUGUAUAUGCUCACUGCUGAAGCUCAAAGGAUUUAACUGGAAACAAGUAUACAUCAUCUGGGAAUAGGACAAAGCACUUCAGAGAUCUGAGCUUCACUUCAGUCACUUUUGGACCUCUCCCCAACAAACGCUUCUGCUGAUAAGGACACAGCAUUGUUAGCUUUGGAUUUUGCACCCAAGGGAGAAGAAAUGAGCAUGGAACGGCUGCUGCAAAUCAUAAACCAUGGGUUUCCCAAAGGUCUACUGGCAGUUAGGCUUCCUCAGUGGUUUGAGAUGUUGCUGUCAGCUCCCAUUUGUGCAGUGGUUCAACAAAGGGUGGUUGCUUGUUCUGCUCUGGGAAAACAAGUGAGGAAAAGGAUCCAGCAGCAAUGGCGUGGCUGGAUCAUCCAUAGCUCACCCCACCUCAGCUCUGAACACCUCUCUCAGGCUGAAGGUCAUGGAUCUCAAAGUUCCUCACCCUGCAAAGUGCAAACUGGUUUCCAAUCACCGUGCCUGUGGCUAGGAGGAAAAUAGGAUGCCUGGAGAUGUCUAAAGUCUCACUCAUGAGUUAAAGCGAGUUUUGAAGUUCUGCCAAAAAAGAAGGAUUAGGAAGGGAUUCUUUUUAUCUGCUUUUGAUAUAUGGUUUUUAUUUGUUGUUUGGCAUAGAAGCACUGUAGAUCAGUGUCCUUUGUAAAAGCACUGUUAUGAGCUGGGACUAAGGUCUGGUGCAGCAAGGAAAGGAUAGGGAUAAUGGGCAGACAUUCAGAUGUGAUGGCUGUUCAGUUCUUCUGCUGAAGGCUCUUCAGCAUUGGGUUUGCCUGGAUUAGGAGGAGAUGAAGAUGGAUGUUGCUGGUGAAGGCUGCCUGCUACCCAUGUCCCUCAGUGCCACAUCUCCAUGGUUCUUGAGCACCUCCCUGGGCAGCCCAUUCCAGUGCAUCACCACUCUUUCUGAGAAGAAAUUCUUCCUAAUAUGCAACCUGAACCUCCACUGGUGCAACUUAAGGCCAUUCCAUUGCAUCCUGUUGGGAACUUCUGCAUGCCUGAGUGCCUGAAGGUAACCAAGCACGUAUAUGCCUGCACCCAAAUUUACAUGCAACACCUCAGUGUCUGCUUGCUGACACUGCAUCAUUUCAUACCAUAUUCAGCACAGCUGUCAGAUAUUGAUUAAAAACCCUUUUGAUUUUUGUUGUUUAGGAUGAGAGGGGAGAACAAAAUAGAGUAAUAUUCUGCUCUACAGGGUCUUUAUUGGAUCUAAUGGGUUUUAGAGUAGUCAGGAUCCAAAGAGACAAGUUUAGGGAAAAUGAGGGAUCCAUCCAAGGGUGAGCACUAGUAUUGUUAAUGUAGAGUUCCUGUAAAGUGAUUUGAAGAGGGAAACCAAAAGAUUGAGGACAUGACUGACAUGAAAUUCUCUGAAAGAGGGCACUUGGUGCAGAACUCCUACAGAAACAAUGCAGCCAGGCUGCAGUUCUGCGUGUUUGGGUACAUCAAGUUGCAAUGGAAGUUAUGGUCAGAGCAGUGCCUCUGUGUCAGGAAGGAGCAGCACCUGCACUGGUGCCUCAUCUCAACAUUGGUCUGCUUCUUCUCCAGGGCUUUAAGCCAAGGCAGAUGUCAGCAUCGGAAACAGUGGUGGGAGAGGAAGGAGGAAUACGUAAUACGAGGUAGUCUUUUGCAGUGUUGACAAGCUGGGUUAUCUAAUAAUUGGAUUAAUUAAUUAAUGUCUAGUCAACACCUAACAUAAUGAGCUGUUCAGGUUUCUGGUUGCCUGUUUCAUGGCUCAUGUUCUUGGUAUGAACACUGUGACCUCUCUGCCUCCGUAAAGGUUAUCCGUGUUGGAUCCUACUGCAGCUUCUUGUCACAGACCUCCUGCUUAUGCAGUGGAGCUCGACCUGGCUCUAUAGUCUGUGCAAUUCUGAUGUGGAUUUGAAACUCCUAAAAUCCUCAGGAUAGAGGGACUGAAAAUCAACUCAUUGUUUUGGAUUUCCGUACUGAACCUCCAUCUUCAAGGGACAAAGAAUGCUACAACAGAGGAACGAUUAGGACAUUAUCUGGCAGUGCUCCUAGUAAUGAAUUAUCAUCAUUUCUGACCAUAUAGGGUAUUAAAGCUCACAGUCCAAAACUGUUUUAUUAAGAAAGCAGCAUGAAAUCUAUAUUUUGCAUGUGAUAAAACUUUAUAUUUGCCAGCACUGAAAUGAACUUGUGGCUGUGUGUUGUACUGAGAAACUGCUUCUUGUAUUUUAACCUGUUUUGCAAAAUGCAAGGAAAGCACCUUUCAAAUACUCACCUAAUGUUCCUGAAGAAUUGAAAGCACUUAACAAAGAAGAAAAAGUGAGCUACAGCAGGGCUGAUAUCACUUCUUGUUUGCAGCAAUGAAAGCAAAACUGAAAGGAUUUCUGAGUUACAGGAGUGAUGUUUCAUUUAUGUAAGUUGAAGGCCGACGUCUGGGGAUGCAUGACAAACUCUUGUACUGAAUGGAUGUUCCACUGAUGCUAUAGGAGAUCAUCCUCAGCACAGUGCCUGUUACCAUAUCUCCUAGGUUUUGAACACUUCAAGCUGGUCUGGAUACGGUUUGAACGUGCAGAAAACCUCAGGGUUCGUACAACACACUUGGCCAGGACACUGGGCAGUGUCAGCCUCAUCCCAGGACACUGCUGCAAGCUUCCCAGCCUUGUGCAGAAUGUCUGAAGAUUCUUUCAAAUUUGUACAUGCUGACGUAAACAGAGCCCCUUGCUGCGGAAAUAAAACUGCAGGGAAUUUCUGGCAGUGUUUGGAAUGAUACAUAGUUUUGU